rnacentral:lncRNA from 1 species
UUCUUUCUGGGUACACCAAGAAAAUUUAAAAGCCGUGCGGGAGGGUGCGAACUGAGAGCAUUCUUCAAACAAACGCGACCUUUUCUGUUUCUUGUACUCCUUUUCUCAACCCAGCCAGAAAACCCAGACAAGUUUAUUUACACACACACCCGCACCCGCACACACACGCAGGGAGAGUGGCGGAAACGCCCUCUUCCCAUCCCUUCCGAACAAUUAUCUCCGCGAGCAGAAGAAAAUCACCAGCGGCCCUGGGUGCCGGGCGCGGGGAGGGCGGGCGGCGGGCGGCGGGGAGACGAGCAUUUGUGCAGGGGAGCGGGCCCGCGUGCGCCUCUUGCUCCCCGUGUAAUUCGCAGCCAAUCAUCAGUAGGUGUCCACGGCCCCGCGUCCUCCUCACCUCGGCGCCAAUCACCCCCCCGNCACCAUCUCCUCCUCCUUCUCUCUGCAACAAGAAAAAAAAAGCCAUUUACAGGGGGUGAUGUGCAACUAAUUAAAGGCAGACUAGCAGCGUCUGCAAAUUCUAAGGCUCCCCAAAUAAAAAGAGACUGGUAAGUGAUUGUUCUUUCUCUUUCUCUGGCUUUUUUUCUCUUAAAUGUUUGCUGUCCGUUGGGAUUGUAAAAGUAGAUUAUUAAUGCUGGACUCCAGCAAUAAAAGGCGUCGCUGUAUUAAUUUAUUAAUUAAUCUGCACCCGCCCCUCCUCCUGAAUGUUGAAUAUGACCUUUGAUCUCUAUGUCUCUGGUAGACCAGACAUACAAUAUUAGGCAUGUACAGUCACAUUGUUUAAAGGCAAAACAGGAUCAUGAAGUGUGCUUGUCUAAUUUAGCUUUGGAAUAGGACUGUAGUUAUUUGUGUGUGUUUUAUUUUGUUUUUUAAAGAAAAUCCAAACAAUAGCUGUGGCUUAGGUACCUUUUUCAUGCUCCAGAGAUGCAUUGAUUAAACAAUAAUGACCUGGAUACUGGGCACAAUCAUUUUCUACAGUUUCUGGUGGCAUUAAACCUUGAGGGAGGAAGGGGGAGGUGAUGGCCAUAAGAAAAGCCAGGAAAGCUUCUGUUUGCAAACAGCACUCUAAUACUCUGGAAAAGGGACAUUAAAUUAUUUCUUUAUUUGGAACAAGGUCAAAAGACUAAAAUACUGAAUUUUUUCCCUCCACUCAAUGUGAUGGCUAAUGCAUGGUUGGCAUAACUAGUUUUUACUGAGUAGCAGUUAUUAUGGUCUUGCAGUUACAAUGUGAUUCGCAGAAACUGAAGCUAUAUGCAUAUUCUUGCUGUGUUUUCCCCUACCCCCUUCCAAGCAUCAAGAAUAUUUAGCCAGGAGCAUUUUGGGGGCACCCUUUGUAUUGCCAUCAGACCUCUGAAGGGAGCAGUUUUCCCUAAUGCGAAACCACAGAGGUGGUUCCUGAGUGAUUAGGGACUUGCUGUGAUUGAAAGAUGCCUGCUAGCUUCUAAUCCAGCCUGGGGUGAGGUUCCUUAUCUUGACUUACUUUGCCUAAUAGGGAUUUGUUUACGUAAACCCCUCUUUUUAGGGCACCUCAUCAGCAGGUCUUGAAGUUUUUGCACUUGGAGUUUGGGCAUAAAUGGUUCAUUAAUCUAAUUAUAAGCAUAAUUACUAUAAUUGAUAUCCAUUUCGAACUGAAUAUUUGAGACUGAGACUACUGGGCCCCCAUUUAGAAUUCCCUGAACUCCACAUUCCAGACCAAUAUGUGGGCUUCAAAAGAUGACACAAAAAGAAAUUCUGCCCCCCCCCAAAAAUCUGGAAACAAAGAAACUGGUUUUUUCAGGUUAAUAUACACUUUAUGUCUUUGCGUUACUUCUUAAAAGGCUGAGAUGUACCUCCUCCUCUGUGAUAAACAACUAAAAUACCUCUUCCUAAAGCAUAAUAAUGGCCUGUAAGCAAAGGGAUGAAUGCAAAUACCCAGCUAACAUUAAACUUUCCUUUUAAAAAGAGCAAAAAAGGAAAUCUUCCUAAUGGUUAUUUCUUCAGGUAAACAACACCUUAAGGGAUCUCCCUUCCUCCCCCCAUCUUUUACUCAAUGUAAAAACCAGUGACUGUGAGAGAGCCUUAAAAAAAAAAAAAAAAAAAAGUCCCAUGCUUUCCCCUUGUCUUGGGAAGAGACAGGAGUCUCCAUUAGGAAUUAUUGGGAAUAUUCUUACAGAGGCUGCAGGCACUUGGUUUAAAACCGGUGACAUUGUUUGUAUUAUUUUUAAAAAUUUGUAUCUAGUCCAUCUUUCUUUUCUUUCUUUCUUUCUUUCUUUUAAACAAGUAGAACACCACCCUCUUACCCCCACCAAGCCCCACCACCAAAUGGCUUGUACAAUUGAGACCUGUCCUUGGUCCAUUGAAUUAAGACCCUAACAGAGCCAGCUGUGCUGGGAUUCAAACUAAUGACCGCAGACACAGAAGGACACUGUGGCAGCUGGUAGUUCUUUUUUCCCUGCCUCUUUAGUUCAGAUUGUAUGUGGGCAGUCUCUUAGCUCUCAGUUGUAUUGUGUUUGCUUACAGUUUAUACUCGGAUGUAUUGUAGACUUUCUCAGUACUUCAUUUGCUAAUUUCCUGUUCAUUUUCCUCAUAGGGCCAUUGCUGUUUUCUACUUUACAGCAUUUGCAUGCCCAGGCAGCACUUGUUCGCACAUUUCAUAAUGUUUAAAUGCCCUCUGCUUAUAGGUAGUAUCGCCCUCCCACCCCUGAUUUGCAUGUCUUUAGCACUCCAAUUGCCCUUUUCCCUCGGCAUUUGUCACCCCCGUCUUUCCUCUUUCCCCGGGUAUCCUGGCUAUUAAUACAUUUUCUCUGGAGGGUUAUGAGAAUAGGGGGGAGGAGCUGUGGUGUGCUGUGGGGAGGGAGGGAGUGGGCUGGGAGCGUGGGGGUGGGUGGUCUUUCCUCGUGCAGCUCGUUGGAAUGACUUUCUUUAUUUUAGUUGUAACAGUUGGAGGAUAAUGGUAAGGAAGAAGCCUGGGAAUUCACCGUCUGUGGAAAUGCGCCCCGGAGAGGAGUAAAGCAGUCCUCACCUUGCUCUCCCCAUCCGGACCCACUUCCCCUUCCCGCCUCGGCCCCCACCCCAACACCACCAUCACCACCCCC